rnacentral:tRNA from 1 species
GGGGAAUUAGCUCAGUUGGUUAGAGCACUAGCAUCACACGCUAGGGGUCGCCGGUUCGAAUCCAGCAUUCCCCACCA